UACUGCACAAGAGAUUGCCAGGCGAGCAGGGAUGGGAUGUCUUUGACUGAAUGAGAGAUUAGUCUUUCCAUUAUGGAAAAUGGAAGCCGGUUUCUGAAGACAGAAUCUUGUUGUUGUAGCCUAGACGUACCGAGACACGAGCUUGCAUAGAGAUUGAGAAGCUGAAACUUGUAGCCAUUAUCGAUCUUCAGGCCUGAUCUGAUCAAGAGAGAGAGAUGGCGGAUUGUACAAGGGAGUGUGAAUGCAGUGGUAGCUGAGUACUAUUGGGACGUAUUUAUACAAAGUUGGUCCAGCAGAAACGACAACGUAUUAAUGCAAUCAUUGAUUUGGUUGGGCUCUUGUAGUGCUCGUUAUUCAGACAACAAAGAAAAGCCUUCUUCUUUUUAUUCCAAAUCGAACUAAACCGUUCCAAACCGGUCCGGUCAAGUUCGAAACCGUUCCAAACACACAUUAACAAAUGUAUAGUUUUGUUCCAUCUUAACAAGUAAACAAAUACAUCGAAUAUAUACAUUGCAAUCAUAACCCUUUCAAAGAGUUUGCUUACUGCUCUCAAAACGUAGGGACAGCUCAGCUCUCUGUCCUCACAAACAAUAUUACAAAUAAAUAAAUUACAUACUUACAAUCACACACAC